rnacentral:misc_RNA from 1 species
GAUGAAGAACGUAUCGAAAUGCGAUACUUGGUGUGAAUUGCAGAAUCCCGUGAACCAUCGAGUCUUUGAACGCAAGUUGCGCCCGAAGCCAUUAGGCCGAGGGCACGCCUGCCUGGGCGUCACACGUCGUUGCCCCCCCAUCUACUCCUUCGGGAUUGCGGGGGGCGGAUGAUGGCCUCCCGUGCGCCUCGUCGCGCGGUUGGCCUAAAUGCCAAGUCCUCGGCGACGCACGCCACGACAAUCGGUGGUUGCGAAACCUCGGUUGCCCGUCGUGUGCGGUCGUCGCGCAUCGAGGGCUCGAAAAAAUUGCCGGGCUUCGGCUCGACUUUCAACGCGACCCCAGGUCAGGCGGGGUUACCCGCUGAAUUUAAGCAUAUCAAUAAGCGGAGGA